AUUGAACGCUGGCGGCAUGCCUUACACAUGCAAGUCGAACGGUAACGGGCCUUCGGGUGCCGACGAGUGGCGAACGGGUGAGUAAUACAUCGGAACGUGCCCGAUCGUGGGGGAUAACGAGGCGAAAGCUUUGCUAAUACCGCAUACGAUCUACGGAUGAAAGCCGGGGACCGCAAGGCCUUGCGCGGACGGAGCGGCCGAUGGCAGAUUAGGUAGUUGGUGGGAUAAAAGCUUACCAAGCCGACGAUCUGUAGCUGGUCUGAGAGGAUGAUCAGCCACACUGGGACCGAGACACGGCCCAGACUCCUACGGGAGGCAGCAGUGGGGAAUUUUGGACAAUGGGCGCAAGCCUGAUCCAGCCAUGCCGCGUGCAGGAUGAAGGCCUUCGGGUUGUAAACUGCUUUUGUACGGAAAGAAAAGCCUUCUUUUAAUACAGGAGGGUCAUGACGGUACCGUAAGAAUAAGCACCGGCUAACUACGUG
rnacentral:rRNA from 1 species